rnacentral:rRNA from 1 species
AGUGGCAGACGGGUGAGUAACGCGUGAACAUGUGCCUUUUUUCUGGGGAUACCGUUUGGAAACGAACGUUAAUACCGAAUGUGGCGGCAUCGUUAAACUGUUAGGGAGAAAAGAGCAGUUCGCGUUCUAUCAGCUAGAUGGUGGGGUAACGGCCUACCAUGGCUACGACGGAUAGCUGGUCUGAGAGGAUGAUCAGCCACACUGGAACUGAGACACGGUCCAGACUCCCACGGGAGGCAGCAGUGAGGAAUCUUGCACAAUGGGCGAAAGCCUGAUGCAGCGACGCCGCGUGAGGGACGACGGCCUUCGGGUUGUAAACCUCUGUCAGUAGGGAAGAAGGUUGACGGUACCUACUGAGGAAGCUUCGGCUAACUACGUGCCAGCAGCCGCGGUAAGACGUAGGGAGCUAGCGUUGCCCGGAAUUACUGGGCGUAAAGAGCCCGUAGGCGGGGGCGUGCGUCUGAGAGGAAAUCUCAAGGCUUAACCUUGGGGCUGUCUCAGAUACGGCGCUUCUUGAGGAUGUGAGAGGAAA